UCUGGUGCCAGCAUCCGCGGUAAUUCCAGCUCCAAGAGCGUAUUUGAAAAUUGUUGCUGUUAAAACGCCCGUAGUUGAAUGUAGAUAAGGUUCUUUCACUAUUGAGUGUAAAAAGCUCAGUGGAUUAUGUAAGAAAAUGUCAAAAUUUUAGAUAAAUGACAUUAACGAAAAUAUGAUCUUCUCGGAUCAAAAGAUAGUUUUUGUUUGCAGACAAAAAGUGAGUUAGAAUUGAUUAAUAAGGCGAACCCUUAUUAAGAGAAAUGAAUUAGGCUAGUGUUUGUCCUUAACUGUAAAAGGUUAAGGUUUGUUUAGAUAGGAUUCGCUUUGAAUAAAUUAGAGUGCUCAGAGCAAGCGAUUAUCGCUUGAAUAUAUUAGCAUGGUACGACGAAAUUUGAUAAAUCUGAAUUUUUGGUACAACUACAGUAACGAGCUUAAUUUUGAGAUGGAUAAUAGGAGUGUUAAAGCUUUUAUUAUUCGUGAAGUCUCUUUAUUAAGAAACGAUUGUAGCGAGUGCAGAUUUAUAAUGAUUAAAAGGGGCAAAUGGGGUAAUUCAUAUUGACUGGGUAGAGGUGAAAUUCUAUGAUCCAGUCAAGAUGCACUAAUGCGAAAGCAUUUUACCAAAAUGUUUUCUUUAAUCAAGGACGAAGGUUGUGGGCGCGAAGAUGAUUAGAUACCGUUGUAGUCACAACAGUAAACGAUGUUGAUUUAGGAUUGUGAAAAGUUAAUAUUAUGACUUUUACAGCACUAUGUGAGAAAUCAAAAUAUUUAAACUCAGGGGGAAGUAUGGACGCAAGUCUGAAACUUAAAAGAAUUGACGGAAGAGCACCACCAGGCGUGGAAUCUGCGGCUUAAUUUGACCCAACACGGGGAAACUUACCAGGUUAGGAUUUAAAAAGGAUUGACAGACUGAUCGCUCUUUCAUGAUAUUAAAGAUAGUGGUGCAUGGCCGUUUUUAGUUGGUGUUUUGAAAUGUCUGGUUUAUUCUGAUAACGAACGAGACCUCAUUCUAUUAAAUAGUUUGUAGGUUAGAGCAAUUAGAAGUUUCCAUUAUCAGUUUUCUGGUGGUGGACUUCAUAGGUUUAACAUAAAAAACUUCUUAAAGAUACUCUUUACGUUAUAGUAAAUGGAAGAGAGACAAUAACAGGUCUGUUAUGCCCUUCGAUAUCCUGGGCUGCACGCGCGUUACAAUGAAAUAUUCAAUGAGUUAAUCGAAUCCAAAAGGAUUGAGGAAAUCUUAUAACCCAUUUCGUGAUGGGGAUUGUGUUUUGCAAUUAUCGCACAUGAACGAGGAAUGCCUUGUAUUGGCUUGUCAUCAACAAGCUAAGAAUAAGUCCCUGCUCUUUGUACACACCGCCCGUCGCUCCUACAGAAGAGUAGUAAGAUGAGGACUGUGGACUUUUGACAUUGAAGGAAAUAAUCAGUUCUAAACUGAUCCUGAUUGUUACAGUGGAAACAUUGUAAUCUUAGAGAAAUUUGUUCGAAUCUUUUUACUUUGAUGAAGGAGAAGUCGUAACAAGGUCCUCGUAG
rnacentral:rRNA from 1 species